GUAAGCAGCCACACCACCUGCAGUCCAUUUGAAGCUAAUGAGGUUUGGACCUGGCCAGUACUUGGAUGGGAGACCAACUAGGAAAGCUGGGUUACUGCUAGAA
rnacentral:rRNA from 1 species